rnacentral:rRNA from 1 species
GCCUGUAAGACUGGGAUAACUCCGGGAAACCGGGGCUAAUACCGGAUGCUUGAUUGAACCGCAUGGUUCAAUCAUAAAAGGUGGCUUUUAGCUACCACUUACAGAUGGACCCGCGGCGCAUUAGCUAGUUGGUGAGGUAACGGCUCACCAAGGCGACGAUGCGUAGCCGACCUGAGAGGGUGAUCGGCCACACUGGGACUGAGACACGGCCCAGACUCCUACGGGAGGCAGCAGUAGGGAAUCUUCCGCAAUGGACGAAAGUCUGACGGAGCAACGCCGCGUGAGUGAUGAAGGUUUUCGGAUCGUAAAACUCUGUUGUUAGGGAAGAACAAGUACCGUUCGAAUAGGGCGGCACCUUGACGGUACCUAACCAGAAAGCCACGGCUAACUACGUGCCAGCAGCCGCGGUAAUACGUAGGUGGCAAGCGUUGUCCGGAAUUAUUGGGCGUAAAGCGCGCGCAGGCGGUUUCUUAAGUCUGAUGUGAAAGCCCCCGGCUCAA